UUACCGCUUAAAUGUACGUUGAAGAGUGAGAAGGAAAGGGAAAUCGAUAGCGGAAGUGUUCACUUCACCUUUUAUUACGGAUGCUUAAACAUUGCGCUUUUUAAGUUAAAAGGCGUUGCGAUUCCAGUCCACUGUCUCUCUUUGUUCAGAGUAUCACUGAAGUACGGUUUGAGUGGAUCUGACUUCAUCAGUGGCCAGUGUGGAUAUAAGCAGUGCUUGUUCCUGGAUCAGGAAAGUCACCAAACUUUUCUGAAAAGGAAAGGUUACAGUGGAACUUUAGAAGCUUUAAAAUGUAUCUAAUACGAAAAGGUGCUCCGUGUAUAAAUUUUCCAAGAAAAGGAAAGGCUCUUUGUGGAUUCUCCAUGUAUACAUUCACAUGUAUUUUACUAAAUCAUAGUGGCAGUUAAUUUACUAAUUCAUAAAGCUGAGUUUUUGGUGUCUUUCAAAGUGUGCCAUAUAUUAAUUUUAAUUAGUUCUAAGUGAAAGCGUUCUAUAAGAAGGUGUGUAAGGUUGUGAACAUUUGAAUUACACCUGGUUACUCCUUCCUUAGUUUUGGCAUUUCAGCUGGCGUUAUCUUUCGUUUCCCGUCGAACAGCCGUCUGACAGGUCAGAGUCGGUGUCGUGGUUCCCUCUGGAGCUGAGACGAGGGAGUGACUCUGGCCUCAAGUUUCCCCUUUCUCUGUAGCUUAAGAAUUAGCCCCUGGGCCCCAGUACCUGAUACGUGGCCAGUGGGGAUGCCACUUAACUUCCUAUGAUGUACGAGGGCAGCCCCCAAACAAGGACUUUUCCAACCCCAAUGUCAGUAGUGCUACGGUCGAGAAAUCUUGCUUUGUGUUUAUAUAUAGAACAAAGCAUCUCAAGUACCUACAUGAUACCAGAGUUCACCAUCAUUCCUGACUAAUGACUGGAUGCCUGGGGCCUGCCUGAACAGAAACAACUCUAGCUUUUUAGUGAGGUGAACUUGAGCUGAAACCCAGAUUCCAUAUCUCAGUUGCUAUUUAAAUAUACUUUGGACAUACAGCGAACCUUUGAACAGCACAGUUUGAACGGCGUGGGUCCACUCAUACACAGUUCUUUUUGAUAAAUACAGCACGGUGUCGUGUCUGUAUUUUCUCUCAGGGUUCUGUUCAUAACGUUUCCUUUGCUCCAGCUUUAUUUUGACAACGCUGUGUGUGUGUGUGUGUGUGUGUGUGUGUACGUAUGUAUGUGUGUAUACAUACACGUAUAUUUAUAUAUGUACAAAUAAUGUGUAACCUACAAAAUAUAUGUUAAUCACCUGUUCUUCUCAGUGGGACUUCCUGUCAACCGUAGGCUGUUAGCGGUUCAGUUUCAGGGGGAGUCAAAAGUUCUGUGUCGAUUUUCGCCUGGGUGAGGGUCAGCACCCCAUCACCUGCAUCAUUUGGGGGUCAGCCAUAGGUGCUUUGCCCCUCUUUGUUUCUGCAUCGGUAGGAUAGAAGCAUGAGCCCCGUUUCUCAGGGUAGCUGAUGUCAGCCAGCCGAGGUCGGGCUUCCUCCAGAGCACGCGUGCGGCGCCAGGCCUCGGUGCCUGUGGCCUUAGGAGCACAGUCUCGUCUGGGGAGCACGAAGGACAUCUCGGUCGAAGCCCCCGCAUCCGGUGCAGCGUGCUGAUCGGGGAGGUGCGCUCCGGGGCGGUGCUCUUGGGGGCGUGUGUCUGUGCUCCUGUUUCCUUGUCUGUAAAUCGGGAUAGUGCCGCACCCGACUGCAGGGUUGCGGAACGAACCACACGCGUUGAUCUGUGUGCGGCCCUUGACCCAGCAGCGUUGGCUGCAGAAAUUCUCACUCCAUUUGUGUCUGUUUUGCAUCUCGUUCCUUCAGGCCGCGUCGCUCAGUUGUUUCCGUUUUUAUUGUUCUAAAUUGCUUCUCCCCCACACCUGCCUGCCGUUCCUUCGGUUAGUUCUUCUUAACCUUCUGUCCGGAAGCAGCCCUAGCGGCCGCCACGGAUAGUGAGUAUUCCCUCAAGACCAGGGACUGCACUCACAGUGACCCAUUACAGGCUCAGAAUUGAGCUUCAGAGUCUCAGGCUUUUGUCGUCAUUGUUGAUGACUUUGCUUUCUCGUUGUGAAACACUAACAGUUGACCCAGACGUCUGUGUGUUGGCUCCAGUUUAAAACCCGUGUUAAGUGACGUACCGUCGAGUCAGGCUGGCGCCGCAGGAAAACGGCCCAGUUUCUCCUGGGACCGUCCGGGCUGCCGUGUGUGCCUGUUCCAGCGGGAGGAGGACGGCUUCGCGUGUGGCGAACACUGUCCUCCCGACCCCGCGGUCAGUCGCGGGACACUCACUUCACGUUAGUAAACCAGACAGUAGAAGGGAGUCACCACGAAGUGGAACUGCAUCCCGAUGCGAUUUGGUGGGACAGUUCCCAGCGAGCGGUUUUCCUUCAGUGCUGGUAGGAAUAGCACAGGCAGCGCGAAAGGGGGGCGAGCGGCCGUGACAGCCAGGAGGGUCCGGCUGCGGGGCGGAGGGUGUUUGCGUAGCUGUCUUUUAAAAAGUGACGCCGUGAGUCUAGCCGCUUUUCUGGCUGUAGAAGGUUCUCGCUGCCCACGGCAGUCUUCGGGAUCCACAGGAAACACACACGCUCAUGUCGGACUGCUGUGAUUUUGUUAGGUCGGGUUUUCUCACCCCAGCGGCAAACCGUGUGUCUUCCUCCUGCUGUUCCAGGGUCAGGUGUGGGGCUUUUGCUCCGUUUGAGGAGAUCGCUUCAUCAGUGCGUUGGCACUCGGGGAGAGGGAGCGAGGAGUGUGUUACCUCAGUUCAUUGUUAACAUUUUUUUUUUUUUAAUGUUUAUUUUUGAGAGAGAGACACAGCAUGAGCAGGGGAGGGGCAGAGAGAGGAGGAGACACAGAAUCCGAAACAGGCCCCCAGGCUCUGAGCUGUCAGCACCCAGCCCGACGUGGGGCUCAAACUCACAGACCGCGAGAUCGUGACCUGAGCCCGAAGUCGGUCGCUUAACCGACUGAGCCACCCAGGCGCCCCACCGUUGUUAACAUUUUCGUUACAGUGACGUGUCCUUGGUUUUGUUUUGUUGGGCACUGUGGCUCUUAACCUUUUCUGGGUCAUGGGAGAACCCUCUUCCCAGAGAAACGUACAUACGUUCUAUAUCACAGACGCUCGUGUACCAAUUGAGGGUGUCCAGAUUUUCCAGAACCUGAUUUGCAGGUUUUAGUUAUGGCUUCCCAUUUAAAGUUAUUUUCCUGUGGCUGGGCAUUGACACUGAAACUCGUUAUUUUUCUUCUGAGCUGACUGCUGGCUUGAAGGUCUGCAGGCCACAGUUCUUGGCCGCUGUCUCCGGGUGCACCAGCAGCGUGAGUGCAAGCAUGACAUGGUCCUGUGUGUCUCUGCUGAUGACCCCCAGUCCCUGGGGGGAAGGGCCCAGAAAAGUGUUGACAGUCGCUUCAGUAGCAUGUCUGGCUUCAGGCUCUAGGAUGUUAAUUCUGAAAGAAAAGCAGCCCUGGUACUAACUUCUGGUAAGUAUAAAUUCUUUUAGGUAGAUUUCUCUGUAUUGCAAUUUUAAUUUUAAUGUUUGUCUCUCUGUCUCCUCGGUUGUUGUUGACUAAAAGUCAGAAAAACAACUUCCCAUGCUCUUUUCUCGCAGCGUAUUUUCUCGGUCCAGGGUUUUUCAGAGCGACCACUUGUUCAGAUUACUUUCUGUCUUUAACUUGCUUUAACAGGGUUUGUUCAGAAGUCUUUCCGAGCCUCUGCUGGUUCUCCUCUGCAGAGUCGGGGUGUGGGUUUUCUAGGUUUUUUUACAUCAUACUUACAUCGUAUUCUUGAGAUGAGAUGUUCAGCAUACAGAGUUUGCUUCAGGUGUUCAGCGGGUGGUAGUGUGUAACCAGAAGCCUCAGACUCCAGGAGUUGUGAGAGCAGACCUUGUGUGAAGGUGGGAGGCCUGCUGGUGAGGCCUUAACACUGCAGCUCGGUGGUUGAGAAAUGUCCACCCAGGCUCAGGGAGCUAAGGUAGGACCCGUGGCUCAGCCAGACACCGGAAAGGGCUUGUGUGGAUUGACACCCCUGAGCACUGGGGAAAUUUCUGUCAGUUUGUGAAAUGGGGACCAGUGAAGAAGAGAAGAUUAGUGGUAGAAGGCAGAACUUGGGAUUUUAAGCCAUUGCAGGGUUUUUAUUUAUUUUGAAACUUAUUUUUAUGAUUUUUUUUUUUUAAAGCUUAUUUAUCUUGAGAGAGAGAGAGAGAGAGAGAGCGCAUGUGCACAAGUUGGGAAGGGGCAGAGAGAGAGGGAGAGAGAGAAUCCCAAGUGGGCCCCGCACUGUCAGUGCCCAGCCACAAAAUCGCGAGAUGGUGACCUGAGCCCAAGUCACACGCUUACCCGAGUGAGCCACCCAGGCGCCCCAAAACUGUUGCAGAGGUUUUAAACCUAUAAGGAUACACCCAGCAGACCGGGGCUUUCCAGAGUUCGGCUCCAAGUUGAGAUUUCUGCAUGGAACUAUGGGACCAGUUUUGUGAUAGAAAUCACUGGAAAGGGAGGGUUUGGCUUACAACCAGCUCUGACGCAGUGUAAUUGUGUGAAGGUGAAGAGAGCCUAUCAGAUCUGCCGGACUUAACACAGAUGAACGAUAGUCCACGUGUGUUGCUGACCCAUGCCAGUGAAGAAGAACUGAACAGAGCCUCUGAAUGAAGAGUUGGUUUAAUUGGCGAUCCCAUCUAACGGACCCGGCCGCGGUGCGGGGUGCCAGCCUCUCCUAAGGUUGCUGUCUCGGGACCCGCACGUUUUCCCGUGUUGCCGAGCUCAGAUACGGUGUUCGUUCAAGGAGCUGCCACUGUGGAGGGUUUAAUAGAAUAGAGGUUUUAUCUAGAAAAUGACUGUUCUCCAUCGAUCCCCUGACCUGUGCGAUUUGUCCCACCUCAGCUGGGUCUUGUCUUUUGCGUAGACCAGUUUGAGCGGUUCAGGGGCAGGGACGGAGAUGGAGAGACUCCCGUGUGUGCUCACUGCCGCGAACCGUACUUUGGUGCCGCAAGCUUCCCUGUGUCGGCCUUAAGGCCUCGGGACGGAGUCAGGCAGUCUUAAGUUGGCUCUCUCCCUUGAAUAGCCCGCUUCCCCUACCUCACCGGGGCCGCAGUGGCAGAAGAUUCUAGCAGUCCUCCUCACGACCUGGCGGGAAACAGAGCCCACCAAGCGGCGGAGGAAGACGUCCCAUUCGGUUCUUGGCCUCCCGUGGCUCUCGCGGCUCAAACACACACAGUUGCUUCUCCCGUUGCUCACGGUUUUACCUCGUCUCUGACGGAGGCACACGAGAAUUGCACGAGGUGUGAGUUGCCAGACAGGCGUAGCCCGUGUUCUCCUAAAGCUCUCCUCUACGCUUGGACGCGGAUCCCACGCGGGGCCGUCGGGGAGGAGCGUCCGAGUGGAGUGAGCACUAGUUUACUCUGAGGACCCCGAUGUCCAGAGACGCUCGGGUGACAUCUGUCAGCGCACAGAACUGCUUGCAGACCUCGGUGUGGAUGCGUGUGAGGGAGCAGCGCGGUGAGGGAGCACACACACGUGGGUUCCUGGAAGCGUGUCCCCUGGAGGCCGAGGCUGUGAGCUGGUGCUUCCCGGGUCGUGCACAGCUUGUGGCUCGCAGGCGAUGCGGGGCUCUGCGUGGUCCGCUUCCCCCGCCGUCGGUUCCUGCCCCUCCGCCUGGAAACCUGUGUACGAGCCUUCCUUCACGGGCCCGUCCGCCGCCUCCUGACCUUGGAGUCGCUGCCCCGGGUUUUGUUUUGAACCCACGUGUCCUCUCGAUUGUUCCAUUUUUCAGCUAAUGAACGUGUCUCUCUGGUGUGGGAGCUGGCGCACCGGAUGGGGACUGGGCUCCCUGGGGAUUCAAACGACUUUUCUUUCUAAAUGUUUUGUUUUCUAAUGUUGUCAAAAUGAAUGAACUUUCACGCUUACAGAAAAGUUGUAUACAAAGCGCAAAGUUGAAAGUGUGGCCGCGGAUGGACAGACGGAUGGACGGACGCUGCUUCCUGGAUACCGUCCUCCUGACCUCGUUCCCACGUAUGUGAUUUUCCUCGGAGGCUAACGUGUGCCAGAUGGGACGUUUUUGUCCUUAGCCGCCUUCAUGGCGAAGCCACCCGCGUGGAUAGCUGCAGAAGUGAAGAGGGAAGGAAGCGAGUCAGAGGUGAUGGUGGGAACAGAGGAGGCCGUUUGACAGGUUUGGAGGUGUCAGAUGCCGGAGCAGCGAGUCCAUAUUUAUUCCUUGGCUGCCGUGGUAACAGACUGGGUAGAGGCCAUGGGACACGGAGGGAGAGGAUGAUUUCCGUCCGCAGGGUGCUCAUGUGAGUUGGCUGGGGCCUUUUCCCUUCAGGUGGGUAGUUUCUGUGCCGUGUGCCUCAUGGGACUGGCCUGGGGAGGCAGGACAGGGGUGGGGCCGGGCCGAGUGGCUCCUGAACACAUGGCAGGAAACCCCGAGCCCAGCUGGUCUCACCUGCUUUCCCCUCCGGGGCUGUUGUCCUUCCAGUUACCUGGGAGGGGGCUGGUCACUCUCCCUUUGCAGGUGUAGAAUCCAGAUGUGGGACAGCUGGCCGGAUGCUGAGGGCCCUACACCCUGGGCUGGGGUCGGAGCAGAUCUGCUAGCCCCACGCCCAUGUCCUUGGAUCUCUGAAGUUUCUGGUCUUAAUUUUGGGACAAAGAAGCAGUUGUUUAUUUUUUUAUGUUAAUUUAAUUUUGGGGUGGGGGGCAGAGAGUAGGGGAGGCAGGAUCUGAAGCAAGCUUUGCAGUCUGUGCAGAGCCCGACGUGGGGCUUGAAUUUGCAAACCGCAAGAUCAUGACCUGAGCUGAAGUUGGAUGGUUAACCAACUGAGCCACCCAGGUGCCCUAGAAGUGGUCUGUUUUUAAGGGCAGAGCAGUCUUGUUUAAAAUCUCCCUUGGGCUAUUUUACAGAAAGCUGAGUGAGGCCUGCUGAUUUAGAGGCCCCUGCUGGUCAGGCCCAUGUGGGGCCUACACAGGGCUCACCUGCUGGCAGUUUUUUCCAGCUGUGGAAAGAAAUGCCCCUCCUGCCCUGCCCGCCUCAUGCUGUACAGAGAGGUGGGAGAUGCUCACUCUCAGAAGAACCCACACCUCUGCCCACUGCUUUCCCUGCAACUGUGAGGAAGCUGGCGGUCCGUUCUUUAUUGUUGUCUUGACCGAUUCGUGUUUGUUUAAUUUAUUUAUUCAUAAUGUUUAUUUAUUUUUGAGAGAGAGAAAGAGAGCAUGAGCAGGGGAGGAGCACAGAGAGAGGGGAACAGAGCCCAACGCGGGGCUCGAACUCAUGAACUGUAAGAUCAUGACCCGAGCCGAAGUCGGACGCUUAACCAACAGAGCAACCCAGAUGCCCCUUUACGAAUUCGUUUUUUAAAGAUAUUAAGAGAUGUGAAAACACUGGAGCUUAGGAAAUCCGUCCAGGUUCGCAUCAUCUCUGGAGACUUUCCAGUGCCGUUAUAGUCUUUCUUAGAGCCUCUAGCUGUCUUGCUGAAACGUCCUGACCUGUAUCCUUGCUGGUUCCCAAUAGCUGACCUUGGCUGACCUUGACCACGAGUAAUUUGUGUCACGCGUGCAAGAGUGUUGUCCUUAUUGCGUUCCUCAUGUAAGGUUUCUGUUUUGUAAAUUAUCCGUAUUAAACAUUUUCAUCAUUUUCAUAAAUGAAGGCUGCGAAUCUAAAUCAUCUAAAACUCCAAUUUGUUUUUACCUGCGUUCACUUGUUUUGCAUAUACCGCUAGAGCAGUGCGGGUAGACGUGGACCGCACCUUCCAGAAUCCAGUGGUCCUUGUUUCCUGUUCUUUCCAGCUUGAGUUUCAGCAGCCUUUGGGGAACUUGAGAAACGCAGUGCUUUUCUCUCUGCUCACGGUUCUAAUUGGGGAGGGCGUUCCUGUCUUGUCGCCGGGAGCGUUUCAUGCUGUGUGUGUCCAGGAGGAGGCGUGGCAGCCCCAGGCCCCGCAUCCUCCUGUAGAAGUUCUCGGGUACGAAUUUGGCAUCCCCCAUCUGCCCUGUGUGCUAGUGUCAUCCUGUCCUGCCCUUGCCUGUCCCCGCUGACACUUCCCACUGGCAGCCCUCCUCUGGAACCACAGCCUCCCUCCCCUUUCUCAUCUGCUUACCUGACUCUGGGCCCCUUCGGAGAUCUUUCACAGUUGCUAAUCAGUUAGCAACAGACGCCCAACAAAGGAGGCACGUGGAUUGUCCCUGUCUCCUACUUGACACGUCACCCAGGCAUCAGCGUGUUCAUAGAGGCACCUGCACGGGUAAGGCAGACAGAGCCACAGGCAGGACCUUACAUACCCAUCCCUGGUGGACUCCGGAAGGAAGGAGAAUCAGCAUUUGUGGCGUUGCCUGCUGUGUGUCAAGCACCGGGAAGAGAACUUUCUCUCCUGUUAUCCUCAUGGUGAUGAGUCAGGAGCUACUGUCUUCCCCUAAGAAUCUGAGACAGAAUUAACCAGGCUAGGUUUAGGAGACACUCCCCCGAUACCAGGCCCAGGUCACUGUGGUUAAAUUCGUGUUUGGAGACGUUAAAGCCUGAGAGGUUAGAGACAGGGCCUCGCUCUUAAGGUGGUGUUCAUUGAGCCCACACUGCUGUGUGCCAGUGGUGGGCCACGGGGCUUGGCGAGCCUCCCCCAGUCCUCAUUGUUACCCCAUAGCUGGGCAUCGUGCCAUUUUCCAGGGGAGGAGGCAGGCUGGGAGUGAGAAAGCUGGCCGGACCUGCUGAUGGCGAACCCGGAUUGAGGCCUCAGUGCACCCCACCCUAGGGGCUGUCCUACUUCCCUCUGUCACUGCAGCCCUGUCCUUCAUACCAUGUCCCUUCCCUCACCAGCCCACUUUACCAGCCCUGGCUCUUCCCACUAGUUGGAUCAGUAGAACUUUGUGAAAUCCGCCCAAGUUUAAAAACAAGCCUCAAAAAAAAAAAAAAAAAAAAUUCUUGAAAGCUGCUUUUUCUCCCCAGCCCCCCAAGGUCUAUAUUUGUAAAUUCCCUAACCUCUGGGACAGGAUUUUGGGGCUUUCUCUUCUGCGUGCUGGAAGACGGGACUUGCUUGUGUUUCUGACCUGGGAUAAGUGCCCAGGGGAGUGCACACGUUGUGACCACGCUUGUGGGUUGACGUUACCCUCCCAGGCUCCAUUCCUGCCCUGCGGGACUGUGCUGUGUGUGAUUUCCUGACGAUCGGAAUGGUUUGGGACGCAGCCGCCGCAUGGCCGCUGUUGGUAUCGUCAUCUACUCUCCAGGAAGACAACAGAACCAGUAGAGUGUGCACGUGUGUAGAGGAAGAGAUUUAUUUUAAGGAACUGGCUCGUGUAGUUAUGGAGGCUGGCGACUCCAGAAUUGACAGGAGGGACCAGCAGGGGGAGACCCUGCAAGGAGCCGACGCUGCAGCUCAGGUCCAAAGGCUGUGGGAUUCCCUCUUGCUUGGGGAAGGUCAGUCAGCCUGUGUUCUGUUCCGGCCAUCAGCUGAUUGGAUGAGGCCCACCCGUGUUAGGAAGGGCACUCUGCCGUUUUUACUCAUAGUCCGCCGAUUUGCAUGUUAGUCUCAUCCAGAAACAGCCUUACGGAAGCAUCCGGCAUAACCAAAUACCUGGGCACCGUGGCCCAGCCAAGUUGUCACAUGAAAUGAGCCACCGCGGUGAGCAUGCUGUUGGUCUCUCUCGCGGCACUUGUCCCCGUCUGUGCU